rnacentral:rRNA from 1 species
UACGUAGGGUGCGAGCGUUAAUCGGAAUUACUGGGCGUAAAGCGUGCGCAGGCGGUGAUGUAAGACCGAUGUGAAAUCCCCGGGCUUAACCUGGGAACUGCAUUUGUGACUGGCGGGCUAGAGUAUGGCAGAGGGGGGUAGAAUUCCGACGUGUAGCAGUGAAAUGCGUAGAGAUGUGGAGGAAUACCGAUGGCGAAGGCAGCCCCUGGGCCAAUACUGACGCUCAUGCACGAAAGCGUGGGGAGCAAACAGG